AGUGAACGCUGGCGGUAGGCCUAACACAUGCAAGUCGAACGGCAGCACAGUAAGAGCUUGCUCUUACGGGUGGCGAGUGGCGGACGGGUGAGGAAUACAUCGGAAUCUACUUUUUUGUGGGGGAUAACGUAGGGAAACUUACGCUAAUACCGCAUACGACCUACGGGUGAAAGCAGGGGAUCUUCGGACCUUGCGCGAUUGAAUGAGCCGAUGUCGGAUUAGCUAGUUGGCGGGGUAAAGGCCCACCAAGGCGACGAUCCGUAGCUGGUCUGAGAGGAUGAUCAGCGACACGGGAACUGAGACACGGUCCAGACUCCUACGGGAGGCAGCAGUGGGGAAUAUUGGACAAUGGGCGCAAGCCUGAUCCAGCCAUACCGCGUGGGUGAAGAAGGCCUUCGGGUUGUAAAGCCCUUUUGUUGGGAAAGAAAAGCAGCAGGUUAAUACGCCGCUGUUCUGACGGUACCCAAAGAAUAAGCACCGGCUAACUUCGUG
rnacentral:rRNA from 1 species